rnacentral:rRNA from 1 species
GACGUAGACCCGAAACCGGGCGACCUACCCAUGAGCAGGAUGAAGCGAAAGUAAAAUUUCGUGGAGGUCCGAACCCACGAGCGUUGAAAAGCUCGGGGAUGACUUGUGGGUAGCGGUGAAAUUCCAAUCGAGCCCGGAGAGAGCGGGUUCGCCCCGAAAUGGCUUGAGGGCUAGCCCCAAGGGGGGAGAUACGGGGGUAGAGCACUGAAGGUCCUAGGGGGUAUUGCACCUACCGAAGACUAUCAAACUCCGAAUGCCGGCAUCUUAUACUUGGGAGUCAGACUGUGGGGGAUAAGAUUCAUAGUCGAAAGGGCAACAGCCCAGAUCGUCAGCUAAGGUCCCUAAAUGUAAGUUAAGUGGUAAAGGAUGUGGGAUUGCACAGACAACAAGGAUGUUGGCUUAGAAGCAGCCAAUCAUUCAAAGAGUGCGUAAUAGCUCACUGGUCGAGUGAUCCUGCGCCGAAGAUUUCCGGGGCUAAAACUUACUACCGAAGCUACGGCAUCAGUAAUGAUGGGUAGGGGAGCUUCCCAUACGGGUUGAAGCAUGACCGUAA